GACUAGUGAGAUAUUAUUACCAUAAAUGUAAACUAAACAACUUGAACAGAAAAGUAAUAUAAUCAAACUAUUUCAUAAUUAUCACCUACAGGGUGAUUUAUAUGUUCUUCAGGAAUUGCAAAGAAAUCUGAAGCUUCCAAGUUCAUGGGCUCAAAAUUAUCUUCAAGGAGGAAGUUUGUUUCGAUAUCAUUUUCUGCCUUCUUAAGGGACGCCUGAUAGAGUUUUACCAGAUUCUUUGGCGUACGAUAGGUACGCGACCAGUGACCUUUUUCCUCCAUAUCGAUAACAUCUACUUUCAGAGUCCGUCUUUGGCGCUGCUUUAGGAGCUCCCCCUUUAUUUUUGCACUGCUGGUGCUGAGGUUUAUUAUUUAUUACAAGGCGAUCACCCUGAUUAAAAUACCUGCCACGACCACGACUGGGGAUAGGACUUUUUUUACACCUAGUUGGGCGAAAAUUUACUGCAUUCACUUCUGGGAAUGGAGAGUACCAGCAGGUCGACUUUCAUGAUUUCUCAUUAAAAGGUCAUUAUGUUGUUCAUCAACAAAAAGAUGAGAAAUCAAUUCAGAAUAUUUUUUAAAUCACAUCUCUUGGUACUGUUGCUGCAGGAGCAUAUUCGAGGCGGAAAAAGUGGAGAAUGUUAUUUCCAACAUGUCGUGAUCUGUGAUAUCUUUCCCAAAUAAAUUAAACUACGAUUUAAUUCUAAACAUCACAGAAUUAUAAUCAGUUAUAUUUUUAAAAUCUUGCAAUCUUAAAGGGUCCAUUAAUAAUGAGCUUGUGGAAGAAUGACCAUCUUCAGGUAGUCAUAUCUUUCUUUUAAAUUGUUCCACAAUAUGAGAAGAUCUUUAAGCGUAAGGUAUUCCAUUUUUAAACCUUUGUCAAGACGAUGAUGAAGAAAUAUCAUGACCUUGGCCUUAUCUUGAUUUGAUGUCUUAUUGUCAUUUUUAUGGUGUCUGCUAGACCCAUUGCAUUUAAAUGUAUU
rnacentral:lncRNA from 1 species